rnacentral:rRNA from 1 species
UACGUAGGGUGCAAGCGUUGUCCGGAAUUACUGGGCGUAAAGCGUGCGCAGGCGGUUCUGAAAGUCAGCUGUGAAAGCCCCGGGCUUAACCUGGGAAUUGCGGUUGAAACUACAGGGCUAGAAUCUGGCAGAGGGGGGUGGAAUUCCACGUGUAGCAGUGAAAUGCGUAGAGAUGUGGAGGAACACCGAUGGCGAAGGCAGCCCCCUGGGCUGAGAUUGACGCUCAGGCACGAAAGCGUGGGGAGCAAACAGG